GUGCCAGCAGCCGCGGUAAUUCCAGCUCCAAUAGCGUAUAUUAAACUUGUUGCAGUUAAAAAGCUCGUAGUUGAAUUUCUGCGUUAUCGAGUUAUUGACUCUUGUCUUUAAUCGAUUUCGCUUUUGGGAUUUAUCCCUUUUUACUUUGAGAAAAUUAGAGUGUUUCAAGCAGACUUUUGUCUUGAAUACUUCAGCAUGGAAUAAUAGAGUAGGACUUUGGUUCUAUUUUGUUGGUUUUUGAACCUUAGUAAUGGUUAAUAGGAACGGUUGGGGGCAUUCGUAUUUAACUGUCAGAGGUGAAAUUCUUAGAUUUGUUAAAGACGAACUACUGCGAAAGCAUUUGCCAAGGACGUUUCCAUUAAUCAAGAACGAAAGUUAGGGGAUCGAAGACGAUCAGAUACCGUCGUA
rnacentral:rRNA from 1 species